GGAUGCGAGGAUGAUCUGGUUGUGACAUCUGUCACCCCGUUGAUCGCCAGGGUUGAUUCUGCUGAUCUGCCUGUCCCCUUCCUCCUUCACUGCUCCAUGUGCGUCCCUCAUGCAUAUUCAGUAACAGUGAAAUCUCUCUAGAAAGCUGAAUGGCUGGGUCAGGGGACAGGAUAAUGGUUAUGCAAAUGACUUUCAUGUCUCAAGUUCCAAUGUCCCAGGUUCGAACCCCAGCAUCACCGUAACCAGAGCUGAGCACUGCUCUGGU
rnacentral:snRNA from 1 species